rnacentral:rRNA from 1 species
GCCUAACACAUGCAAGUCGAGCGAGAAAGCAGGGCAACUUUGUGAGUAGAGUGGCAGACGGGUGAGUAACACGUGAGCAACCUACCCUUGAGUGGGGGAUAACUCCGCGAAAGCGGGGCUAAUGCCGCAUAACAUCCCAAGAUCGCAUGGUUUUGGGACCAAAGGCUUCGGUCGCUCGAGGAGGGGUUCGCGCCUGAUUAGCUUGUUGGUAGAGGUAACGGCUCACCAAGGCUCCGAUCAGUAGCCGGCCUGAGAGGGUGAACGGCCACACUGGAACUGGGACACGGUCCAGACUCCUACGGGAGGCAGCAGUGGGGAAUUUUGCGCAAUGGGCGAAAGCCUGACGCAGCAACGCCGCGUGGAGGAUGAAGGCCUUCGGGUCGUAAACUCCUGUCAGGGGGGACGAAAUCCCGGGCAAACAGGCCUAGACUGUAACCCCUUGAGGAAGCCACGGGCAACUCCGGUGCCAGCAGCGCAGGUAAUACGGA